rnacentral:tRNA from 1 species
ACAAAGUUGCGUGAGUGGUUGAAACGAGCGGUCUCCAAAACCGCUGAACAAAAGUUCCGCGUGGGUUCGAAUCCUACACUUUGUG